GUGCUCACAGAAACACUUAUCCUGCCGCGUGGCUGAGAUGGGUUCUGGAAAAAUGUGAGCUAGAGCAGUGUAUUGCUUUGGGAGUGUCACAUUCCAGAGCACAUGUGACACUACAGUUUUCAAUACAACA
rnacentral:snoRNA from 1 species